rnacentral:misc_RNA from 1 species
GCGCCGACUCAAACGCCCUCCUGGCAACCUCCGCAGCCCCCUUCUGCUCGUAACACUCGCCGAGCAAACAGAAAGCCUUUCCGUUCCCCGGACUAAGCUGCACGGACUCGUUAAGAUCGGCGAGAGCUUGAUCAGAGCGGCGGCGGCGGUUAAUAGCGAGAUGAAUCUCCGCCCGCUUGAGCAGCGCAUCCCCGCGCUCGCUGGGGGAUAGGGAUUUGACUGCGGGUGCGGAGAGGGCGGCGUCGAGGGCCCGGAGGGCGGGCUGGCGGAGGCCCUGGAGGUCGAGGGCGAGGGCGCGGAGGAUGAG